rnacentral:rRNA from 1 species
AUCUCAACUCAUACGGACUACCCCCGAAUUUAAGCAUAUUAAUA